UGCAACAUUCGGUUUGUAGCCUGAGGGUCGGCACAGAUUUCACUUCUUUUCCAGCUCUCACCCUUCCUAUCACAGUGACAGCUUUGACUGUGCACUAAGAGGGAGCAAAAAGAACUGCUAAUACAGAGCUAUUAACACUAAUAAUACGUAAAGGGAUUAAGAGAGUUGAUGAUGCAUGCCGAAAUAAUGCAGUGAAUGAUUAGAAUAAUAAUUCCUUGAGAUACAGAGAAUAGGCAGAAUUGAAGCUGGAAGAACAGAUCCCCCAGAGCUAUACCCUGUGUUCUCCUGGAGAAGGAAAAUUUAAGGU
rnacentral:lncRNA from 1 species